rfam:Gossypium raimondii chromosome 7, whole genome shotgun sequence.
AGAGCAUUGAGAGGACCUUUCCCUAGUACGAACCAGGAAGGACGCACCUCUCGUGCCCACGGUAAACGCUGGGUAGCCAAGUGCGGAGCAGAUAAUUGCUGAAAGCAUCUAAGUAGUAAGCCCACCCUAAGAUGAGUGCUCU